rnacentral:rRNA from 1 species
GAUGAACGCUGGCGGCGUGCCUAAUACAUGCAAGUCGAGCGAACAGACGAGAGUGCUUGCACUCUCUGACGUUAGCGGCGGACGGGUGAGUAACACGUGGGUAACCUACCUAUAAGACUGGGAUAACUUCGGGAAACCGGAGCUAAUACCGGAUAAUAUUUAGCUUCGCAUGAAGCAAUAGUGAAAGACGGUUCUGCUGUCACUUAUAGAUGGACCCGCGGUGUAUUAGCUAGUUGGUGAGGUAACGGCUCACCAAGGCAACGAUACAUAGCCGACCUGAGAGGGUGAACGGCCACACUGGGACUGCGACACGGCCCAGACUCCUACGGGAGGCAGCAGUAGGGAAUCUUUCGCACUGGAAGAAAGUCUGACGGAGCAAUGCCGCGUGAGUGCAGAAGGUUUUCGGAUCGUAAAACUCUGUUCUAAGGGAAGAACAAGUACGUUAGUAACUGAACGUACCUUGACGGUACCUUACCAGAAAGCCACGGCUAACUACGUG